UUUAUGGCCUGUCUUGUGAUGUGUUUAUGGCUGGGAUGGGACCGCCAUGGAUGCUGCCCAGCCCUGCCCUGGGCGACACGGCAGGUCCCUGCGCUGCAUCCUGGUGCUGAUGGGGUGGAGGAUCACAGCUGAACUUUGCUCUCCGAGGUGGGGCUCCCGAGGGCUCCUGCCAGCACCACAGCCGUGUCCGCCCGCUGCCCAGCGGCUCUACAGCUCCUUCCCCUGCCGGCUCCCGCAGGCAGGACCCAGCAGUGAGCCCAGGGGGAGCAGGGUCCUGCCCCAUCCCUUUGGAGCAUCCUCUCCCCUGUCUGGCACUGACGCUGAUCCGGACAUCACCAAGUGUUUGCUUUGGUGCUGAGCCCCCUGUGUCACGUAUCGGCCACCGCAGAGGCGGUGCUGAGCAGGCAGGGGCCGGAGAAGGGACUGCUGCCUGCCAGCGCCGCUCCAGGGAGCCACGGGGGAAGGUGCUUCUCCCCAUGGCAGCCAGCCCCCCCCAUAACGCCAGCCAAACUGGACACCGCGGUCCCACAAGAGACCCCCCCCAGCCAGCGCCCACCCACCUGCCACCUCCAGCCCAGCCCGGACUCGCCCGUCGCUGCCCUGCUCCACACCGGCCCCGCGUCCCACGGGUCGGCCACGGGCAGACACCGCGAUGCUGCGACCAUCACCGACCUGUGCAGCGGCGAUGUCCCCGAGGUGGAGAUCAUCAGCCUGCUGGGCCAGCAGCUGCCCCGCUACACGCUGCGGGCUGACACCGUCUUUUGCUACGACCACGACGACUGGCUGCGUGCCCCCCCCGGCCCCCCGGAGCCCGUGGCCCCCCUCACCCCCCGGCAGAUCGAGGAGAC